rnacentral:rRNA from 1 species
UACAGGGGGUGCAAACGUUGCUCGGAAUCAUUGGGCGUAAAGCGCACGUAGGCGGUCUGUUAUGUCGGAUGUGAAAGCCCUCGGCUCAACUGAGGAAGUGCAUCCGAAACUGGCAGGCUAGAGUACUAAAGAGGGUCGCGGAAUUCCCGGUGUAGAGGUGAAAUUCGUAGAUAUCGGGAGGAACACCGGUGGCGAAGGCGGCGACCUGGGUAGAUACUGACGCUGAGGUGCGAAAGCGUGGGGAGCGAACAGG